AUGGAAAUUCUGAAAGAAAUGGGAAUAUCAGACCACCUAACCUGCCUCUUGAGAAAUCUGUAUGCAGGUCAGGAAGCAACAGUUAGAACUGGACAUGGAAUAACAGACUGGUUCCAAAUAGGAAAAGGAGUCCGUCAAGGCUGUAUAUUGUCACCCUGCUUAUUUAAAUUCUAUGCAGAGUACAUCAUGAGAAAUGCUGGGCUGGAAGAAACACAAGCUGGAAUCAAGAUUGCUAGGAGAAAUAUCAGUAACCUCAGAUAUGCAGAUGACACCACCCUUAUGGCAGAAAGUAAAGAGGAGCUAAAAAGCCUCUUGAUGAAAGUGAAAGAGGAGAGUGAAAAAGUUAGCUUAAAGCUCAACAUUCAGAAAACGAAGAUCAUGGCAUCUGGUCCCAUCACUUCAUGGGAAAUAGAUGGGGAAACAGUAGAAACAGUGUCAGACUUUAUUUUGGGGGGCUCCAAAAUCACUGCAGAUAGUGACUGCAGCCAUGAAAUUAAAAGACGCUUACUCCUUGGAAGAAAAGCUAUGACCAACCUAGACAGUAUAUCCAAAAGCAGAGACAUUACUUUGCCGACUAAGGUCCAUCUAGUCAAGGCUAUGGUUUUUCCAGUGGUCAUGUAUGGAUGUGAGAGUUGGACUGUGAAGAAAGCUGAGCACCGAAGAAUUGAUGCUUUUGAACUGUGGUGUUGGAGAAGACUCUUGAGAGUCCCUUGGACUACAAGGAGAUCCAACCAGUCCAUCCUAAAGGAGAUCAGUCCUGGAUGUUCAUCGGAAGGACUGAUGCUAAAGCUGAAACUCCAAUACUUUGGCCACCUCAUGCGAAGAGUUGAUUCAUUGGAAAAGACCCUGAUGCUGGAAGGAAUUGGGGGCAGGUGGAGAAGGGGACGACAGAGAAUGAGAUGGCUGGAUGGCAUCACCAACUCGAUGGACAUGAGUUUGAGUGAACUCCGGGAGAUGGUGAUGGACAGGGAGGCCUGGCGUGCUGCAAUUCAUGGGGUCACAAAGAGUCGGACACGACUGAGCGACUGA
rnacentral:lncRNA from 1 species